UACGUAGGGUGCAAGCGUUAUCCGGAAUCAUUGGGCGUAAAGAGCUCGUAGGCGGUUCAGCAAGUCGGCUGUGAAAGUCCGAGGCUUAACCUCGGAAUUGCAGUCGAUACUGUUGUGACUCGAGUCCGGUAGAGGAGGAUGGUAUUCCCGGUGUAGCGGUGAAGGGCGCAGAUAUCGGGAGGAACACCAGUAGCGAAGGCGGUUCUCUGGGCCGGCACUGACGCUGAGGAGCGAAAGCGUGGGGAGCGAACAGG
rnacentral:misc_RNA from 1 species